GUGGGGGAUAUUGCACAAUGGGGGAAACCCUGAUGCAGCAACGCCGCGUGAGUGACGAAGGUCUUCGGAUUGUAAAACUCUGUUCUUGGUGAAGAUAAUGACGGUAGCCAAGGAGAAAGCUCCGGCUAACUACGUGCCAGCAGCCGCGGUAAUACGUAGGGAGCGAGCGUUGUCCGGAAUUACUGGGUGUAAAGGGUGCGUAGGCGGCCUUGCAAGUCAGGCGUGAAAACCAUGGGCUCAACCCGUGGACUGCGUUUGAAACUGUGAGGCUUGAGUGAAGUAGAGGUAGGCGGAAUUCCCGGUGUAGCGGUGAAAUGCGUAGAGAUCGGGAGGAACACCAGUGGCGAAGGCGGCCUACUGGGCUUUAACUGACGCUGAGGCACGAAAGCAUGGGUAGCAAACAGGA
rnacentral:rRNA from 1 species